AGCCGCGGUAAUACGAGGGAUGCGAGCGUUAUUCGGAAUUAUUGGGCGUAAAGGGUCCGUAGACGGAAAAAAAAGUCUUUUUAUAGAUACUAUUUUUCUAUGAGAAUUAUAUAAAGGUAGAAGGAAUCUUUAAAGUAACGGUUAAAUGUUUUGAGAUUAAAGAGAACGCUAGAAGCGAAGGCUUUCUUACUAGAUAAAUUCUGACGUUGAGGGACGAAAGCUAAGGGAGCAAAUGGGAUUAGGUACCCCAGUAGUCUUAGCCGUAAACCAUGAGUACCUGCCUCCAAAUCAGUUUUGCGUAUAUAUUGUAAAUUAGUUUAUUUGAUUUUUUAUUAAGUAAAUUAAUUUACAAUAUAUAUAGUUUAUUAAAAACAAAGAUUUUUAAUAAUCAUUUAGGACAUGAAUAAAGGCAAAGUUUACGCAUAAAGUACUCCGCCUGGGGAUUGUGCUCGCAAGAGUUAAACUCAAAGGAAUUGACGGGGGCUCGCACAAGCGGUGGAGCAUGUGGUUUAAUUCGAUGUAGCGCGAAAAAACUUACCAGGGUUUGUAUAAAUAUGAAGUUGUUUUAUGUAAAUAAAAUAAUAUGUAUUUACGGGUGAUGCAUGGCUGUCGUCAGUUCGUGUUGUGAAAUGUUAGGUUCAUUCCUAAAACGAACGCAACCCUUAGUUUUUAUUAAUUGUAAUAAAAAAUUUCAGUUAAAUAACUGAAUGAAAAAGAGGAUGACGUCAAGUCCUUAUGUCCUUUAUACUCUGGGCUACACACGUGCUACAAUGAAUAAUACAAUAUGUCAAAAUUAUUUUUAGUUCGGAUUGUAAAUUGGAAUUCAUUUACAUGAAGUAGGAAUCGCUAGUAAUCGCAGGUUAGCAAUACUGCGGUGAAUACGUUCUCGAGCCCUGUACACACCGCCCGUCACACCAGGGAAAUUGAUUUUGGGCGAAGCCUUUUAGGAGGUGAGUUUGAUUUUAGUAACCAGGGUGAAGUCGUAACAAGGUAGCUGUACUGGAAGGUGCGGCUG
rnacentral:rRNA from 1 species